AGCCAUUAGAUGAUAUUAUAUGGUUUUACCUGCCCAGUGUUAGAAAUAAUAAAUGGCCGCGGUACCCUGACCGUGCUAAGGUAGCGUAAUCAUUUGACCUUUAAAUGAGGUCAGGUAUGAAUGGAUAAACCGGGUCUGGCUGUCUCUCUUCUAUUUUUUUGAAUUUACUAUCUAAGUGAAAAAGCUUAGUAAUUGAAAAGGGACGAGAAGACCCUUAGAAUUUUCUCUAAAGACUAUGUGUAGUUUACGAUUUUAUUGGGGCGAUAAAGAAAUAAUUUUUAACUUUCUAUAUUUAACAAGCCGAUUGUAUUAAGCAAGAAUAAAUUACCUGAGGGAUAACAGCAUAAUUCUAUAAUUGGGUUUGUGACCUCGAUGUUGGACUAGGAAACUAGUAGGCUAGCCGUUUACUAUGUUAGGUUCUGUUCGAACUUUAAUUCCU
rnacentral:rRNA from 1 species